rnacentral:lncRNA from 1 species
GUGCUCAGAGCCAAGGGGGUGUUUUCCGUGUGGUUUUAGCACAUUGUAGCUUCGUAUUUUGGCCGUGUGGGCGCCUGCCUGAUCCUGCCGGCCUUGGCCUGGGGGAGGCAGAGGAUGGCUUCCUGCCCUUUGUUUUCCUAAAGUGUACAGGUGGAUGCUUUGUUUAAAAACCAGAACACACCAAAAAAAUCCAAACAAACAAACAAACAAAACCAAUAAAAUCAAAGCCCUGUGGUGUUUGUGAAUGGCCCUUGUGUUUUUUAGUUUUAUCCGGCUUCCUUUUAUCACUGGGAAAAAUACAAAACAUAGAAUUUAUGUUAAACUCUCGUAAGUCAAUAGUUUUCAGCGGAGGAGUUCCUCUUGUGGCUCAGCGGGUUAAGAACCCAACUAGGAUCCACUGGGAUGUGGGUUCAAUCCCUGGCCUCGCUCAGUGGGUUAAGGAUACAGCAUUGCCGUGAGCUGUGGUGCAGGUCACAGAUGCAGCUCAGAUCCUGCGUUGCUGUGGCUGUGGUGCAGGCCGGUAGCUGCAGCUGGCUCAACCCCUAGCCUGAGAACAUCCAUAUGCUGCAGGGGCGGCCCUAAAAAGCCAAAAAAAAAAAAAAAAAAGCUGCAGGUCUUUGUCCUAGGCUCCCAUGAAACUGACAGUCUGUGGCUUCCUCAGUCAAUAGGCUGGAGCAGCACCCAGACGUGUCCUCUCAAGAUCCAGACACGCCAAGCCCGUGCCUUUCUUGGUUGUGGGCAGUGCAAGGCGCAGCCGGGAGACCGUGACGGUCCAGAGGCCACUGGUUCGUCCUGGAAUUGAGCCGUCGCCGUCCAGGGCACGGCUUCCUGCUCACCAGGGCCACUGCUGUGAUGUCCCCAGUGCACCCAAAUGAAAUCACGUCUCACCGUUGUGGAGGCUGCAAGUCCAGGAUCGGGGUGCUGCAGGGGGUUCAGCCGAGGGCCUCUGCUGGGUGUGGACGGCUGGCUCCUCCUUGUGUCUUCAGAGGUGCACUCUCAGGGCUCAUGGGAUCAUGCGUCUGUCUGUGAGGGCUCCACCUCGCAGCCUCAUCGGAGCCCAGGCCGUGUCUUGUCACAUGGAUCGUCCCUGUGUCCAGCUGACAGAACAGGAGAGGCCCGCCUCUGACCUGCACCUGGAUCCGCACGGUGUGCUGGCAUCCGCUGCACCCCACACAGGCUCAGGGCCUUGGAAGAUUGCAGGUGGCAAACCAGGCGGUACCUCUGGCGGCCCACUUCAGGUGGAGAGAGCCAGCCGAGCCCUGAUCCGUAUGCGCCCUUGUCUGUGACUGUCCAGCUGGCCCUCCACGGCAGAGAAGAGACCGCAGGGGGGUAUCCAGCAGGUCUCUCCCGUCCCGCAGGACACGCACUGGAAGCACGCUCUGGUGGGCGGGGUGACACCUGUGGAUGUCACCCAGCCUCUUAAGUGGCAGGAAAGGAGACCUGCAUUGGCUCAACACCACCCCCUCUCACAAAGGCUUCCUGGCUUCUGCAGCUCCUCAGUCCCUGCACUGCCAACCACAGACGCCAACGCGGAGCCCUUGACGAGGCAGGCAGUCCCCUCCACCACAGAGGAGGCAGUAGUUGGUCCCACCAGGAACAGACACGUUCCUGUCUGCGGGACGUCUGCCAACAGUGCGAUCUGAGGACCUGGAGAAUGUCUUACCUGCUGCCUUAGCUCUUUGUGACGGCGCCUCUUUUCAGCAGGCCCACAUUUUAUUUGUUGUACGGUCGCACCUGCUGCACAUGGAAGGUCCCACCCAGCCUAGGGAUCGAAUCCAAGCCACAGCUGCAACCUAUACCGCAGCUGGGGCAAUGCUGAAUCCUUUAACCCACUGCACCGGGCUGGGAGUCAAACCCGCACCUUCCCAGCAACCCAAGCCACUGCACUCGGAUGCUUAACCCACUGUGCCCCAGUGGGAACUCCAGCAGCAGGCAUAUUUUAAAGCAAUGAAAGUGUGCAGGAUGAGCUCACGUGGAAGCCACUGGUGUCACCACGUUGGGGGAGCUUAUUGAGGACAUGACCUGUGGAAGUUUGACCUGUGAGCCAGACCCCCAACAGAGGCCCCCACCGGCUCCCUGUCCUUGGAAGGUGCUUUCUGCCCCAAGGCUGCAGCCUCGAGACCGGCUGGAAGGUGUGCAUGACCGAUGCCAGGCAAGGCCUCUGUAUAAGCGCUUAUGAUUGUGGCAGGUCGGUGCAGAGACCUAUUGCCCCUGGCCACCCAAGACAAACCUCGUGAGCCCCAGCAGCCAGGGAGCGCCGAAGGAGAGGCUGGGCUACAAACGGUGUGGAAAGAAUUGCAGCCAACUCCUCAGCUGCAUGCUGCAGAUGACCCAAUUUAUUAAACGAAAAGCAUCAGUUUUUAUACCAUAUCACAAUCAGGUUUCGUAUAAGAUUUGACAUUAACAUUUGAUUUAAAGCCCUUUCUGUUCCCUCCACCUGAGAUACAAAAAAAGGUUAGUUAAAACAUGUUCCUUUCAACUUUAGAUUUUCCUUCAAGAUUACAAUCUUAAAGUUUCACACUGUAUUUUUCUUAAAAGGUCAACAACAGUAGUUAUUCUAUUCUAUAUUAAGAACAAAGCUUUAAUAAGCAAUAAACUAUGAUACCUA